AGGCAGUGUAGUUAGCUGAUUGUCUGCAGAAUUCCACAAUCACUAACUUCACUGCCACC
rnacentral:pre_miRNA from 1 species